UACGUAGGUGGCUAGCGUUGUCCGGAUUUACUGGGCGUAAAGAGCGCGCAGGCGGUCGUUCAAGUCGAGUGUGAAAGCCCCCCGGCUCAACUGGGGAGGGUCACGCGAUACUGCUCGACUCGAAGGCAGGAGAGGGAAGUGGAAUUCCCGGUGUAGUGGUGAAAUGCGUAGAUAUCGGGAGGAACACCAGUGGCGAAGGCGACUUCCUGGCCUGUUCUUGACGCUGAGGCGCGAAAGCUAGGGGAGCAAACGGG
rnacentral:rRNA from 1 species